UACGUAGGGUGCGAGCGUUAAUCGGAAUUACUGGGCGUAAAGUGUGCGCAGGCGGUUUUGUAAGCCGGAUGUGAAAUCCCCGGGCUUAACCUGGGAAUGGCAUUCGGGACUGCAAGGCUGGAGUGCGGCAGAGGAGACUGGAAUACCUGGUGUAGCAGUGAAAUGCGUAGAUAUCAGGAGGAACACCGAUGGCGAAGGCAGGUCUCUGGGCUGACACUGACGCUCAUGCACGAAAGCGUGGGGAGCAAACAGG
rnacentral:rRNA from 1 species